UGCUGCUGCGUGCUGUCUCGAAGCAAGCAAUCCAGCCGUUGCGUUCAGUCAUUUGGGGGUCUAAUGGCUGUCAAUAGGUGGCAGUGAAUAAGGGGCUGUACGAUGUCCACCAGGUAGCGCGAGUGUCUUCAGGGACGCUUAUCGGCCAUUUUGAUCCAAGACGCAGCGGAAAUGGGUUGUUGGUUGUGACGUUUCUCACGAUGAAAAUUAAAAGGUGAUUUAGCACGUAGAAACCAAUUUGCCAAAUCAUUCAACUCAGACUUGGAAGUGCCUGUACAAGUACAUUUCCGAAAUGGCGUGCCUCGUGUGUCUCGCUGCCCGUUCUUAGGCGUACGUCUCAUCCCAUGCAACAGCAAAAAGUAUAACAAACACUUCUUCAACACUGUUGGUUACCUUGUUGCAGCCAAAUGGUGAAAGGUGUGACGAAGACAGAUUGAACCAUUGUAUGCAGCAUGUGGUUGCAGUGUAAUCCAGAAGUUGCUGUGCUGUUGUAGCUGAGCUGUUCCAUCUGGGUUCCUGACUUGAAAAUUUUUGUGUUGUUGUUUUCAUCCAUGCCAUGAAAUUUCUCUGUGUUAACUGUGUGCUGACUUAAAAGUUUGAUGUGUUGUCUUUCGAGUUUUCAUUCAAUCAUGCAGUAUACGACUGAGGCAACCUGAUCAAUAUCAGGUUUGACACAGUCGAGAA